UACGUAGGGGGCAAGCGUUGUCCGGAUUUACUGGGCGUAAAGAGCGUGUAGGCGGCCACGCAGGUCCGUUGUGAAAACUGGGGGCUCAACCUCCAGCUGUCGACGGAAACCGUGUGGCUAGAGUCCGGAAGAGGAGAGUGGAAUUCCUGGUGUAGCGGUGAAAUGCGCAGAUAUCAGGAAGAACACCAAUGGCGAAGGCAGCUCUCUGGGACGGUACUGACGCUGAGACGCGAAAGCGUGGGGAGCGAACAGG
rnacentral:rRNA from 1 species